rnacentral:misc_RNA from 1 species
UUAUUAACAGACCGCCGUCAUAUAGGUGGAAUAUUGCUGAGUGCGUCUUCAAGCAACAAACAAACAAAAAUUAAAAAUAUCACCUUGGCCCAGGGAAAUACUCAUGCGUAGGUUGCAUCUUGAAGGCCUUUGUUUGUCCACUUACUUUAGCAUUCUUAUGUUCGUGGCAAAGUUUGGAGUAGUGCAAAAGAGAAAAAAACAUUUCAAUAUCUUUAAAAUUUCACUUUUCCAGUGGGGCGAAAAUAGCCUCGAAUUUAGAACUUGGUAUGAUGAACAAGGGAGAUAAUUCUAUGGAUAUACAACUUCUUUAUUACAAUGACUGCGACGUAUAUAAUCGUAUCUCCUCUCUCCAAUCAACUUGUCCAUAUCAAUCCCUGUAUUGUUUUACCCACCGUGCCUUGUUAAUCCUAUUGAUGGACAUCGACCAGGCUUUAUACUUAUAUACAUUAUCUGUUGUAUAAAUAUUACCUUGUAUGGACAUCAAUUAUCCACAUAACCUUCUACUUCACAUUGAUGUUCAUCACUAGCUUGAUAACAGUGUUAGUAUUUACACCGAAACGUCGCAGUCUUUGUAAUAUAGUUGUAUAUCCAUAGUUAUCUCCCUUGUUUAUUAUAUUUGGUAUUCAGUGGUGCAAGGUGAUUAUUUGGGGAGAACAUGUUAUGUGGUUCCAUAUGCUACUCAAUUUCUGAUUUAGUAUGAUCGUACGGAUGCGAUGUCUACCAAGCUUGAUGUACGAGACCGCUGUCCCUUCCCCAGACGCACCCCAGACGAGAGUAGGGGAAGAAGGGUACGCAGCGGAUCACACCCCUACAACAGAAAGACGUUAGGCUGAUCAGGAACCGAGACGUCUUCACUUUUGCUGAAAUGGUAUCGGUGACAAGGUGGAGUGUGAACGCUGUGGUCUGAAGCUCCUCAACUGGACGGACACAGAUGACGCCCUACACGAACACGCCACCAGGAGGACUCACUGCCCCUUCAUCGUCUCCUUGUACCGGAAGCUG